rnacentral:lncRNA from 1 species
UUUUGUACUCGUUCGGGAUUCAGGCUGUAUAUGAGUUAGUGAGGACUGAAGAGAGGAGAGUUAAACAAACAAGCAAACAAACAAACACACAGGGCAAGAAAACAGGACCCAACAGCAGACGCUGACACCCUCCCGACCUGCAGUGCAGAGUGAUUCCAAGAACCGCGCGCGACAUUCCGUGUCUCAGGAAAGAUGGUACCCACACUAAGCUCAGCCAAGAACGGCCUCCGCGCCCGCUUAAUUUUCCGAACCUGUUCUUGUGGUGCUGAUGGGGAGGGUGGCCGGGAAGAGAGGAGAGACCACUGAUCAAGUUGCUGUUUGUAUAUUGGUUGAUUGCUGUUUGCUGUUUGUUUAUUGAUUGAUUUUUUUUUAUUGGCCCCUGGCCGAGGAUGAGCUAAGAAGCCUUUUGCAUACCUUGACCUGACCUCACUUAUCCUUCCACACUUCUACACCCUUUUCCUUCCUGCGCAGGGUCCUGAGCAGGUCUAAAUCAAGCAGUGCUUAGAGCCUCCCACAACGGGCCUUCAACCAUAUUUGGAAGAAAAGAAGGAAUCCAGAGAGGAAAUGGUUACCUGUGCUUACAGGCGGUCUGCACCACAAGCGCUGACUCAGCAAGAGGGAACUCUGCGUACCCCUGUCCCGAAAGCCCCUUGAGCAAGGACGUCAGAAAGAGACUAAAAUGGAGGGACAGCCUCCGAGGGCCCUGGAGCAGGGUAACAUGAGAUCUAUGACUAUCUAGUCAUUCGCUACCUGCAUUUGAAAGCAUAUGCAUUAUUAUGGUUGUCACCAUUUAUAGUAGUAUACUUAGACGUUGUCCAUCGAAUCUGGACGCAUACUCAAUUUGAAACUAAAUAAAACCUAAAGGAACAUAGGUGACCAUGAGGGACUCCAGGGAACAUUCUCUGGGACGGAACUCUGUGAAGAGUGGAGAAGAGGCCUCUAGGAUCAAGCUAUUCAUCAUGGAUACAGCCUCAGAUCCAGGACCUCCACCCUCUGGUGCAGUAUUUCCAGGAUAUUAGUGGGGGACUGUGGACCAUUCAAGCCUUGGAACAAGUCUAGCCCAACCACUGUCUAACUUUGCUGCUGACGGAAGCCUGACCCAGCCCUGACCUCGUAGACCUUAUAGGAAUAUGUUCUCAGCUCACUGCUCCACAUUUCUGGCCCUGUGACCUCACCAAACAAACACCUGCCUAUCUCAGAGCAUUGUAUCUAUUCAUGUUGAUUUCUGUCUCUUCCUUAUUAGUCUCUUGCACAAACCAUGAACUGGAUGAAAGCAAGAACGGGAUCGUUUGGGUUCUGUGGGUGACAUCAGGACUUGACUGUGGACUUGACUUGCAUCUGGCACAGCCUGCUCGCCAGCUCCUAUUCCCUUGCCCACCUGUUCUUUGACCUUGAACGCCCAACCCCUUUUUCUUGGCAUCAGUAUCGUCCUCUCUAAGAGCAGAGAUUAGGAUUAAUAAAUCUAUGACGUGCUUGUCACAGGGACUAAUG